UACGAAGGGUGCAAGCGUUACUCGGAAUUACUGGGCGUAAAGCGUGCGUAGGUGGUGAGUUAAGUCUGUCGUGAAAGCCCCGGGCUCAACCUGGGAAUGGCGAUGGAUACUGGCUCGCUAGAGUGCGGUAGAGGAGAGUGGAAUUCCCGGUGUAGCAGUGAAAUGCGUAGAGAUCGGGAGGAACACCAGUGGCGAAGGCGACUACCUGGCCUGUUCUUGACGCUGAGGCGCGAAAGCUAGGGGAGCAAACGGG
rnacentral:rRNA from 1 species